GCCGAGCGCUGUGGUGCACGCCUGUAAUCCCAGCGACUCAGGAGGCUGAGGCAGGAGGAUCGCGAGUUCAAAGCCAGCCUCAGCAAUGGUGAGGUGCUUAGCAGCUCAGUGAGACCCUGUCUCUA
rnacentral:sRNA from 1 species